rnacentral:snRNA from 1 species
AUCGCUUCUCGGCCUUUUGGCUAAGAUCAAGUGUAGGACAUCCCACCGUACACCUUCAAUGUAUACUUUUUGUUAAAAGUAAAUUUAGGAAUUAAGUUUCGCAAAGGAGUUAUGUAAAGUUCUAACCCUAU